rfam:Neosartorya fischeri NRRL 181 1099437636264 genomic scaffold, whole genome shotgun sequence.
GGCAAGAUGGCCGAGUUGGUCCAAGGCGUGAGGUUAAGGUCCACCUUAAUACCAAACUCCCAGAGUUUCCUCAUCAUCGUAUGAUGGCGUGGGUUCGAAUCCCACUCUUGUCA